ensembl:lncRNA
CUGACAUGUUUCAGCAGUACGUACCAUCUCUCAGAUCGCAGCAUAAAUUUCUAUUAGUAAAACCCACUGUCCAAACUAAACAGGGUGAAGCAGCACUCAGCCACUAUGCGGUUCACCUCUGGAACCAACUUCCAGAAGACAUUAAAAACGCUCCAACUACUUUCAGUUUUAAAUCUAGACUAAAGACCAAACUUUUCUCAGAUGCCUUCUGCUAACUGGCCAUGAACAGUUCCUUUGAAGUAUUAUUGCUUACUGUAGUAGACUAGUGAUUGUUAUUAUUCUUUUUAUGCUUUUAUUUCCUAUAUUUUACUAUUUUUAUGCCCUAAUGUUCUCAUGCUUUUAUUUUCUAUAAUUUACUGUUUUUAUGAUCAUGCACUGACCUUUUGCUUUUUUUUUAUUUAUUUUUUUAUGUGAAGCACAUUGUUGUGCAUGUAUGUGAAGCACAUUGAAUGACCACGGUGUAUGAAUUGUGCUAUAUAAAUAAAAUUGCCUUGCCUUGCCUUCGAGGGAUCUGUUUUUCUCUUGCCAGGUGCGCGCUAAUCAGUUCAUCACAUUUCUGAAUCACAUUCCAUUAUGGUGGAUGACGCUUAUAGACCAUGACGUAUACCCUAGGCUUAUACAAUUCUGACCAACAAGAAAGUAUUUUACAACCAGAACCUAACAUUCUAAAGAUGCCUUGGAUUCUACUCACCAGUGGAGACACCCCAGAAACGUAUCUUUCAUUUUCAAUAGUUGACAACAUAACCGUUUGAUCUUCAUCUCCGUCUUAUUCAGAGAAGUCUGCGAGAGAUGAAUAUCGGAAAAGAGGUAACGACCACAUGUGUAAUGGAGAGAACAGGAGGAGAGAGAGAAGGUGUGGAAGAUCUCUAUCAGGAUUUUGAAAAGAUAAAAAAAAUCCUGGUGGAAGAUGGUGCCGAAGAGGACACCCCUUUAAACUUCAUCAAUAAGGCCGUCCAAUCUGACAUUGAAGCAGCCCUAUCUGAGAUCAGAAGGUGCUUGACCCAAGAACACAUAACUGAGAUACAGAGAUUGGUGGAAAAAAUUAUGGAGGAUGAGACCUCCCGAAAGUCAGAGCAGGAGAAAAGGGCAUCUGACCUGAGGGAAAUAGAAGGGUUCCUUGAAGUUCUUGAGCAACGAUGUAUAAACCUGAAUAGCCUCCUGCAAGACCAGAAAGAAUUGCAUAGAAUGGAUAUGAGGGCUCUUGAGAGAGUGAGAGUGCAAGAGAGAGCAGAGUGGGAGCGACAGAUGACGGAAAAAGAGGAAGACUUCUUGUCGUCUCUGUUGUAUUCGGCUAUCAGCAGAGAAAUGGUGAUGAAAGACCCGAGGAACCAGGCAAAGAGACAGGGCACCAUCAGUCUCAGUUUGAGUGGGGCGGUGGGAAAUCCACCUGUACGCAGUAUGCAUCAGAGGCCUUGCAGACGGCUCUCCUCUAGCAUUUCCCACCAGAAUGUCAGGGACCAAGCGUCACCUAGGGUUAACCCUAGUACCUCUAUAAGUGGAAAGAAAAAUGUGGUCUCAACAUGCAUUAGCCGGCUGUGGAAUAAUGCUCAUAAAAUGUAUGAGGGGAGUGCAACAAGCAUCCAAGAGGCAAGAGAUCUGAAGAUUGCAAAGCUGGAGGAAAGGGUUAGAAAAGCAGAGAUGAAGAGACUGCAGAGGGUCAAAGAGAGGGCAGAAAAGGCUAAUAAUGACAUCAACAUGAGUGGGGAUACAAGACAGGAUGUUGUGAAGAACACAGAAAAUGACAUGGAGGCGAUUACAGAAGGAUUUGGGAUAGCCCAACCUGCUUCUUCUGUGUCUCUGAUGUCCAUCUUCAGGUGCAAAAAAGAUUUCAGGUCAAAGAUGCUUCUAAUCAAGGAUUAUCUCACAGUGCAUGUUUUAAAAUGAACCGCAUGAUUACAAAAUGAAUAAACAAUUAAU